rnacentral:rRNA from 1 species
CGUAGGGUGCAAGCGUUGUCCGGAAUUAUUGGGCGUAAAGAGCUCGUAGGCGGUCUGUUGCGUCGGCUGUGAAAACCCGGGGCUCAACCCCGGGCCUGCAGCCGAUACGGGCAGACUAGAGUUCGGCAGGGGGGACUGGAAUUCCUGGUGUAGCGGUGAAAUGCGCAGAUAUCAGGAGGAACACCGGUGGCGAAGGCGGGUCUCUGGGCCGAUACUGACGCUGAGGAGCGAAAGCGUGGGGAGCGAACAGGAUUAGAUACCCUGGUAGUCCACGCCGUAAACGUUGGGCGCUAGGUGUGGGUUCCCUUCCACGGGAUCCGUGCCGCAGCUAACGCAUUAAGCGCCCCGCCUGGGGAGUACGGCCGCAAGGCUA